rnacentral:lncRNA from 1 species
UUUGAUGUUUUUAUUAUUUUUUUGACAAAGGUUUUUCUCUGUUUUGUUUUGAUGUUUGUUUGAGGUUUUUUUUUUUUUUUUGAUGUUUACCAUCAUCAGUUUCCAAUUUUGUUUUUAUACCACGCAUUGGUAGUCAUGCUGUAAUCAAAGAAUAUGUUUCACAUAACAUAAUCAUCCUGAAAUGUUCAGUUCUAGAGAGCUUAAGGAAGCUACUUAUUUCCAUCAUAGAACAGCAAUAAUUUUGUAUGCGUAUUGACUUAGAUAGAAGGAAACAUUUCAAAGAGAAGAAAAAAAAGGAACAUAUUAAUUAGAUAGCUUCUCAUUAUAUAAUAUCAUCCAAAAUAAGAAUAAUAAGAUAAAACCUAUUACAAGGCAUUUUUAUUGGUUUACUUACUCAUACGUAUCAUCAUAGCAGUUGAUUAAUUAUAGAAGAAACAGUCGUUUCUAUGGGAAGAAACAUAUUCCUUUGAUCAUCGUGUGGACAAGAGGCUGGUGGGGGAACACUAUUGGCCAGCAAUCUUCGGUUAAACCUUCCAGAACGUCACAGCAACCGUGCUUAAGGUGGCUAAAAUCCCAACGUAAUAUGGCAGUUAUGGCAUCAGCGCAUCCCUCCACAUUUUGGAUUCUCUUCACACAUUCUGCAGGACUAAAGAAUAAACCUUUUCCUGCACUCAAAGGCGAAACACUUAAUAUCACCAACAAUAUCAAUGCAAAAACUAUAACAUUUCUGUUCAAAGCCAGCAUUUUUUUUCUUAUGUUUUCAGAAGAUAUAAAACAUAAACAAAUGAAAGUUCUUU